rnacentral:rRNA from 1 species
AAGGCCUCACGCUAUACGAGCGGCCGAUGUCGGAUUAGCUAGUUGGUGGGGUAAAGGCCUACCAAGGCGACGAUCCGUAGCGGGUCUGAGAGGAUGAUCCGCCACACUGGGACUGAGACACGGCCCAGACUCCUACGGGAGGCAGCAGUGGGGAAUUUUGGACAAUGGGGGCAACCCUGAUCCAGCCAUGCCGCGUGAGUGAAGAAGGCCUUCGGGUUGUAAAGCUCUUUCGGACGGAAAGAAAUCGCAUGGGUCAAUACCCUGUGUGGAUGACGGUACCGUAAGAAGAAGCACCGGCUAACUACGUGCCAGCAGCCGCGGUAAUACGUAGGGUGCGAGCGUUAAUCGGAAUUACUGGGCGUAAAGCGUGCGCAGGCGGUUAUGUAAGACAGAUGUGAAAUCCCCGGGCUCAACCUGGGAACUGCGUUUGUGACUGCAUAACUAGAGUACGGCAGAGGGAGGUGGAAUUCCACGUGUAGCAGUGAAAUGCGUAGAGAUGUGGAGGAACACCGAUGGCGAAGGCAGCCU